rnacentral:rRNA from 1 species
CAUAUAAAUAAGCGGAGGAAAAGAAACCAACAGGGAUUCCCUGAGUAACGGCGAGCGAAAAGGGAAGAGCCCAGCGCCGAAGCCCGCUCUCGAGAGGGAGCCGGGCAAUGUGGCGUUUAGGAGUGAGCGUGCCGGUGGUCGACUCUGCAGCAAGUCCCCCUGACCGGGGCUGUUACCCAGAGUGGGUGCGAGGCCCAUAGCUGCUAGGUCGCCGUCGGAUGCGAUCUCCUUGGAGUCGGGUUGCUUGGGAGUGCAGCCCUAAUCGGGUGGUAAACUCCACCUAAGGCUAAAUACUGCCGUGAGACCGAUAGCAAACAAGUAC